GUGCCAGCAGCCGCGGUAAAACGUAGGACGCAAGCGUUAUCCGGAAUUACUGGGCGUAAAGGGCGUGCAGGCGGCUCGAUAAGUCCGUCGUGAAAGCCCCCUGGCUAAACUGGGGGAGGUCGAUGGAGACUGUCGGGCUAGAGGCUGGUAGAGGGGCAUAGAAUUCCGGGUGUAGUGGUGAAAUGCGUAGAUAUCCGGAGGAAUACCAGAGGCGAAGGCGGUGCCCUGGGCCAGUACUGACGCUAAGACGCGACAGCAUGGGGAGCGAACAGGAUUAGAUACCCUGGUAGUCCUAGCCCUAAACCAUCAGGACUUGGCGUGGGCCCCGUCCGGGGUCCGUGUCGUAGCCAACGUGAUAAGUCCUGCGCCUGGGGAGUACGGUCGCAAGGCUGAAACUCAAAUGAAUUGACGG
rnacentral:rRNA from 1 species